AUUGAACGCUGGCGGCAUGCUUUACACAUGCAAGUCGAACGGUAACAGGUUAAGCUGACGAGUGGCGAACGGGUGAGUAAUGCAUCGGAACGUGCCCGAUCGUGGGGGAUAACGCAGCGAAAGCUGCGCUAAUACCGCAUACGAUCUGAGGAUGAAAGCGGGGGACCGUAAGGCCUCGCGCGAUCGGAGCGGCCGAUGUCAGAUUAGGUAGUUGGUGGGGUAAAGGCUCACCAAGCCAACGAUCUGUAGCUGGUCUGAGAGGACGACCAGCCACACUGGGACUGAGACACGGCCCAGAAUCCUACGGGAGGCAGCAGUGGGGAAUUUUGGACAAUGGGCGAAAGCCUGAUCCAGCAAUGCCGCGUGCAGGAAGAAGGCCUUCGGGUUGUAAACUGCUUUUGUACGGAGCGAAAAGGCUCUCUCUAAUACAGGGGGUUCAUGACGGUACCGUAAGAAUAAGCACCGGCUAACUACGUGCCAGCCGCCGCGGUAA
rnacentral:rRNA from 1 species